CAGGGUAAGACUUGCAAGCUGAACAUGCACAAAAACAUGUACUACAAAGCCAACGAUUGGACAUCGGAUUCGUUGUACCAGAUAUAACAUCGUUUUCACCGGCGGUUUUUGAUAUAAUAUGGCUUGCGGCGGAACCGUUGUCAUCUUGCGUACGUCCGGCUUCCAAUGGUUCGACCGGAACAGUACAUUGUCAACGACGGUUUCCUCGACACCGAACAACAAACGGUAAUGGUCUAGAACCGAACAAAAGUACAUACCGCAAACCAUAACAACAAUGUUAUAAUAUUAUCAUACCUUCAUAAUAUUUAGUAAUACUUAUCGUUAGUUACCUGUUAGUCACCUAUUUAUAUAUAAUAUAAUAAUAUCAAUAGUAUUAUCGUGCACGACGACUCGUCUGGCGUUGACAACAGCAAUGGGGGGUUGGGGGUUAUCGAAUUGUGUUCGUAAAGUAUGUUAUUAUUAUUAUUAUUAUUAUUAUUAUUAUUAUUAUCAUUAUCAUCGUCAUCGACAUGUCGUCGUUGUUGUCUAAAUACCGUACAAUAUAUAUUUUGUAUUGUUAUUUUAUCAUCGUUCGUAAAUAUUAAUGUAAAUAUUAUUAUUAUUAU